CAAUCCAUACCCGCGUCUGACUUCCUUCCUCUCUCCUGUCUUUUUAGUUCCUCCUCUUCUCUCCUUCCAUUUUCCCCUCUUGCUCCCCAAAAGCUUCUUCAAGAAGAGAGAGACUCCCCUCCUAUGGCUUCUUCGUCCACCGCUUCCUCCCCUCUCUAAAGAAAGACCUCUUUCGUUCCGUUUCCAUCCUCAUUAGAGCUAUUAUUAUGCCUGAAUAUCUCCUGUACCUUCUCCUUGUCUUCCUCCUCCUCACUUCUCCAUCCCCCUCCUUUGUUCCAGACGACCGAAAUCACUCGCAGAAGCCCCUGAUCUUGGGAGAAUUCCUUCUUGAUCUGCUCCUCCUGGAGCUGCGCGUCCGCGCCCGGCGCCUCCUUCCCACCCUCCACUGCUCCCUCCACUGCUUCGUCGACCAGCGCCUCCGCCGCAUCCGUGUCCUCUCCGUCCGUUUAAAACCCCUCCUCGCAUGAUCUCCCGCCCACUCCAUUCCUCCAUUUCUCCUUGCCGUCACCGUCCUCUCCUUUUCCUCUUCAAUUUCUCCUCUUGUGUUAUGCGGUUCCUGAAGUCGUGGUGGCUGUGCCAGUUUCUCUCUUGCCCUUCCCUCCGAUGGAUGCCGUGCCAUGAAUCCUUGAUGUCUCUGAUCCCUCCCCGUUCUCACUCUCUCUUGGAGAGUGAGGCCGUGGCGAUUGGAAAUGAGGCUAAUGGGAAGGGGAGCUGGAUGUCUCUUCGAAGGCGGUGGUGGCCGGGGGUUGAUGGGCUCGAGCUUUUUCUUGUGCUGCUCUUGAUAUCGACCAUGUUUGCUGAAGUCCGUUACAUUGCCUCUUCCUCCAUGUUCCCUACUUUCCGUGCUGGUGAUCGGAUCAUCGCUGAAAAGGUUUCAUACUAUUUCAGGAGCCCUUCCGUGGAUGAUAUUGUCCUUUUCAGGGCCCCUACUUGUUUACAGGAUUUUGGAUUCAAGAAGGAUGAUGUUUUAAUAAAAAGGAUUGUUGCAAAGGCCGGAGACUGUGUCGAGGUUCACCAUGGUUUGCUUUUCAUCAACGGAGUUGCCCAGAAGGAAGAAUUUGUUGCAGAAAAACCAGUUUACAGAAUGAGAGCGACACGCGUGCCUGCAGGCCAUGUCUAUGUGAUGGGCGACAACCGGAACAACAGCUAUGAUUCGCAUGUCUGGGGACCUCUUCCUGUUGCCAAUAUUGUAGGAAGAUACGUGAUGUGUUGUUCCUAGCCGCAGAGGUCGGUGGAUUCAGGUGUCACCAACUGCCUGUUUUUGAUGGGAUUUUUCAUGUUGUUCCAGACAUGAAAUGCUAGGGACUUCGCUAGUUGCAGGCUUGUUUGAUUUUAUUUCUCGCAUGGAUGACAUUGCCUAGGUAACAUCCUCUCUGCCACCCUCACCCCAUGCAGCUCGGCCGGGUUUACUGCUGUUCUUCCUCGUGAUCACCCUCAUCUUCAUCACAGAUAUCCUCUUGCCGGGUUAAGCAUCUUCCACAUUCUCUACUGCCCACCAUCUCCUCCCUUUACCUCUUCCUCUUCGUCUUUAACAUCACCAUCUCCGACCAGCUUUCCUCCCGCAUCAACCUCUCCAUGGCUGUUUCCUUAAAUGGCUUUCCUCCUGGCUCGACAACAGGUCCUUCCCGGCCUUUGUCCACGAUACUGAGAACGCUACCAUUCAUCCAUGCCUUCGCCCUCACUAUUACCAACCUCCUCGUACCUUUUCCUCGCCACUGCCAUGCCCUCCUUUGCCUUCAACGUUCACGUAUUCAGCCACCAUUAAAACCAAAAAACUCUUACCUCUUCUGAUAAAUGAAGCGAAGGAUAUGUUUUGGCCUUAAAAGUAAUCUGUUAAGAUCUAAUUAACGGGGAUAGAUAGCAGGACUACAUUGCUGUUAGUUAAGAAUUUGAAGAGCUUAAUUGAAACUUUUAAAAAUACUGGAAUGUAUAUGCAAUAUGAAAGAUGUUGAGGGAUCAGAAGAUAAUUUUUUUGAAAAAAAUCUGCAUCCCCCUUCUGAUGCUAACUACAGCCUAAAAGGAUAACUAAUGACAGCCAUAAAGACACAAAUAUGUAUCUUUCUUACAAACAAUAUAUAGAGCUAGAAACAAAUCAGAUAUAGUUUGAAUACUGGUAUAUUCAUAUUUAUAUUUAUUUUAUUUAAUAAAUAUAAAAACUAGCACAAAUAUUACUCAAA